rnacentral:rRNA from 1 species
AUUGAACGCUGGCGGCAGGCCUAACACCUGCAAGUCGUACGAGCGGCGGACGGGUGAGUAAUGUAUGGGAAACUGCCUGAUGGAGGGGGAUAACUACUGGAAACGGUAGCUAAUACCGCAUACCAUCAGAUGUACCCAGCUGGGAUUAGCUGGUUGGUAGGGUAACGGCUUACCUAGGCGACGAUCCCUAGCUGGUCUGAUAGGAUGACCAGCCACACUGGGACUGAGACACGGUCCAGACUCCUACGGGAGGCAGCAGUGGGGAAUAUUGCACAAUGGGCGCAAGCCUGAUGCAGCCAUGCCGCGUGUAUGAAGAAGGCCUUCGGGUUGUAAAGUACUUUCAGCCGGGAGGCGUUACCGGCAGAAGAAGCACCGGCUAACUCCGUGCCAGCAGCCGCGGUAAUAC